CGUUCUGUGGCGUAGUUGGUUAACGCGCCCAGACUAGCGUAUUGGGAGUCGUGGGAUCGAAGCCAACCAGAACGA
rnacentral:tRNA from 1 species